UACGGAAGGGGCUAGCGUUGUUCGGAAUUACUGGGCGUAAAGAGCGCGUAGGCGGCUUACCAAGUUGGGGGUGAAAUCCCGGAGCUCAACUCCGGAACGGCCUUCAAAACUGGUAGGCUCGAGUCCGGAAGAGGGGCGUGGAAUUCCCAGUGUAGAGGUGAAAUUCGUAGAUAUUGGGAAGAACACCGGUGGCGAAGGCGGCGCACUGGUCCGGUACUGACGCCGAGGCGCCACCGCGUGGGGAGCCAACAGG
rnacentral:rRNA from 1 species